rnacentral:rRNA from 1 species
CUACGGGGUGCUCCAGUGAGGAAUAUUGCACAAUGGGGGGAACCCUGAUGCAGCAACGCCGCGUGGAGGAUGACGCAUUUCGGUGUGUAAACUCCUUUUAUAUGUCAAGAAAAUGACGGUAGCAUAUGAAUAAGCACCGGCUGACUCCGUGCCAGCAGCCGCGGUAAUACGGAGGGUGCAAGCGUUACUCGGAAUCACUGGGCGUAAAGGACGCGUAGGCGGGUUGGAAAGUCAGGUGUGAAAUCCUACAGCUUAACUGUAGAACUGCACUUGAAACUUCUAAUCUAGAGUAUGGGAGGGGGAGAUGGAAUUAGUGGUGUAGGGGUAAUAUCCGUAGAUAUCACUAGGAAUACCUAAAGCGAAGGCGAUCUCCUGGAACAUUACUGACGCUAAGGCGUGAAAGCGUGGGGAGCAAACAGGAUUAGAUACCCUCGUAGUC